UGGCACAGUGGUUAAGUGCUUGGCUGCUAACCGAAAGGUUGGUGGUUCAAAUCCACC
rnacentral:tRNA from 1 species